rnacentral:lncRNA from 1 species
CGGGGUUGGAGGGUUGGAAGGUCGGGAAGUGAAGGACUCGCAGGCAUAUUUAACAACGCAAAGUUGCUAGGAGUUGGUACCAGCGUUUGGGAGGUAGAGGUGGCGCUCAUGCAUAUUUGAGACAACAUCUGGAUGGUUGGGGAGAACGGUGAUGCCACACUCAAUCAGAAACUAUGCUACUGCUGAAGAGGUAUAUUGAGCCCUGCCUGGUUAACCUCCAGUGAGGUUAUUAGAGAAUUGGGAGAGGCUCAAAUCAGCAUCCUGCACCUAGUUAUCAAACCAUUGUGAAGUCUUGAUUCCUGGAUGGCCAGAAAACUUGUCAUUGGUCAAGAGCAACAUUAAGAUCUGCCUGUUACUCAUACUGAUGCUUCCUGCCCAGCAAGUUCAUCAGAGGGCGAGGAUGAAUUACGGUUGCCAUGAAUGUCCUUGUGAGGCAGUUGGGAAGCCUUGGCUGGAUUGUGAAGGAUAUUUGAAAAGUAUUUUAGAGUCCACCAGAUCAUCCAUGUGAGUGACCAUGCAGCAAAAGAAGGAGGGUCCUCUCAGUGAUUAAGGAUUAUGAAGUAUUAAUUCUUCCACUGAUAUCUCAAAAGGUGAUCUGGACAAAGGAACAGGUAUCUCAGAUAAUCAGCAACUGCUGUGAUGAGAUGCUGCCUUUAAUGCUGCUGCAUGUGGUCAAACCUCCA